AACCAUUCUCACCUGCGGCUAGACCUGCGGAAGGAUCAUUACAGAGUUCAUGCCCUCACGGGUAGAUCUCCCACCCUUGUGUAUCUCUUGUUUUUGUUGCUUUGGCAGGCCGUUAGCUCGCCUAACCACCGGCUCUCGGGCUGGUGCGCGCCUGCCGGAGGACCUCCCAAACUCUGUUUGUUAGUGUCGUCUGAGUACUAUAACAAUCGUUAAAACUUUCAACAACGGAUCUCAGAUCGG
rnacentral:misc_RNA from 1 species